GACAGAGGGUGCAAACGUUGUUCGGAUUUACUGGGCGUAAAGCGUGUGUAGGCGGCUUGGCAAGUCGGGUGUGAAAGCCCCGGGCUCAACCCGGGAAGUGCACUCGAAACUGGAGGGCUAGAGUAUCGGAGAGGUUGGUGGAAUUCUCGGUGUAGAGGUGAAAUUCGUAGAUAUCGAGAGGAACACCGGUGGCGAAGGCGGCCAACUGGACGAAUACUGACGCUGAGACUCGAAAGCGUGGGGAGCAAACAGG
rnacentral:rRNA from 1 species